UUUCGGAUUUAGAUGAAGAAAGAAGUUCCUCGAUAUGGCGUCUGGACUCCAGAUAUGUCCUUGCAGCUAUAUAUUCCCCGAACAGUCGAUAUACGAAGAGCAUACAGAUGGUAUUCGUCUGUGAAAAUUUGCCAAUUUUGAAUACAAUGUCAUAUUAUGCAGUGGGAAAUGUGUUGACGUGAAUGUUUCAAAGACUUGGUUGUAUAGCAGAAAACAUGUGAAUUCUGCAGUUCGAUGUGACACAUCAUCUUUUGAAUUUCC